rnacentral:rRNA from 1 species
UACAGAGGUCUCAAGCGUUGUUCGGAUUCAUUGGGCGUAAAGGGUGCGUAGGCUGUAAGGUAAGUUGGAUGUGAAAUCCCGGGGCUUAACCCCGGAACUGCAUUCAAUACUGCCAUACUAGAGUACUGGAGAGGAGAUUGGAACUCACGGUGUAGCAGUGAAAUGCGUAGAUAUCGUGAGGAAGACCAGUGGCGAAGGCGAAUCUCUGGACAGUUACUGACGCUGAGGCACGAAGGCCAGGGGAGCAAACGGG